AAAAAAGGUAAGCUACUAAGAGCGAAUGGUGGAUGCCUUGACUGGUAAAGGCGAUGAAGGACGUACUAGACUGCGAUAAGCUACGGGGAGCUGUCAAGAAGCUUUGAUCCGUAGAUUUCCGAAUGGGGCAACCCAAUGUAUAGAGAUAUACAUUACCUAUAUAGGAGCGAACGAGGGGAAUUGAAACAUCUUAGUACCCUCAGGAAAAGAAAUCAAUAGAGAUUGCGUCAGUAGCGGCGAGCGAAAGCGCAAGAGGGCAAACCCAGUGCUUGCACUGGGGGUUGUAGGACUGCAAUGUGCAAGAGGUGAGUUUAGCAGAACAUUCUGGAAAGUAUAGCCAUAGAGGGUGAUAGUCCCGUAUGCGAAAAACAAACCUUAGCUAGCAGUAUCCUGAGUAGGGCGGGACACGAGGAAUCCUGUCUGAAUCCGGGUCGACCACGAUCCAACCCUAAAUACUAAUACCAGAUCGAUAGUGCACAAGUACCGUGAGGGAAAGGUGAAAAGAACUGAGGUGAUCAGAGUGAAAUAGAACCUGAAACCAUUUGCUUACAAUCAUUCAGAGCCCUAUGUAGCAAUACAGGGUGAUGGACUGCCUUUUGCAUAAUGAGCCUGCGAGUUGUGGUGUCUGGCAAGGUUAAGCAAACGUGAAGCCGUAGCGAAAGCGAGUCUGAAUAGGGCGCUUAGUCAGAUGCUGCAGACCCGAAACGAAGUGAUCUAUCCAUGAGCAAGUUGAAGCUAGUGUAAGAACUAGUGGAGGACUGAACCCAUAGGCGUUGAAAAGCCCCGGGAUGACUUGUGGAUAGGGGUGAAAGGCCAAUCAAACUUCGUGAUAGCUGGUUCUCUCCGAAAUAUAUUUAGGUAUAGCGUUGUGUCGUAAUAUAAGGGGGUAGAGCACUGAAUGGGCUAGGGCAUACACCAAUGUACCAAACCCUAUCAAACUCCGAAUACCUUAUAUGUAAUCACAGCAGUCAGGCGGCGAGUGAUAAAAUCCGUCGUCAAGAGGGAAACAACCCAGACUACCAGCUAAGGUCCCUAAAUCUUACUUAAGUGGAAAACGAUGUGAAGUUACUUAAACAACCAGGAGGUUGGCUUAGAAGCAGCCAUCCUUUAAAGAAAGCGUAAUAGCUCACUGGUCUAGUGAUUUUGCGCGGAAAAUAUAACGGGGCUAAAGU
rnacentral:rRNA from 1 species